AAAGUUUUAUUUUGGCUUGUAAAUUUAUUAUUAGUUUAAUUUACAUGUAAAUUUUUAUAGGAAUAUUUAUUUAUUUUAAUAGUAAGUAAUUUUUUUUUAUAUCCGCAGUAAUUAAUAUUAUUAAUUAAGGAAACUUAGAAAUAGUAAUACUAAAGAGUAUUGGCUAAAUUUGUGCCAGCAGCCGCGGUUACACGAAUAAUGCGAAUAAAUUUUUUUAGUUAAAGUUAAAUUGUUUAGUUUAAAAAUAAAAUUAAAUUUAUUAGGUGAAAUUUUAAAUUUAUUAAUUUUUUUUAUGGAAUAAUUGAGGCUUAAAAAUUUUAAUAAUAAACUAGGAUUAGAUACCCUAUUAUUUAAAAUGUAAAUUUAAAAACUAAGGUAGUAGUAGUUAUGUUCUUGAAACUUAAAAAAUUUGGCGGUAUUUUAGUCUAUUCAGAGGAACCUGUUCUGUAAUCGAUAAUCCACGAUGGACCUUACUUAAAUUUGUAAUCAGUUUAUAUACCGUCGUUAUUAGAAUAUUUUAUAAGAAUGUUAAUUUUCAAGGUUUUUAAAAAGAAAAUAUAUCAGAUCAAGGUGUAGCUAAUAUUUAAGUAGAAAUGGGUUACAAUAAAUUUAUUUAAACGAAUAUAAAUUUGAAAUAUUUAUUGAAGGUGGAUUUGAUAGUAAAAUUAUAAAGAUUGAUAGUUUGAUUUUAGCUCUAAAAUAUGCACACAUCGCCCGUCACUCUUAUUACUAAGGUAAGAUAAGUCGUAACAUAGUAGAUGUACUGGAAAGUGUACCUAGAAUGCAAU
rnacentral:ncRNA from 1 species